UACGAGGGGUCCUAGCGUUGUUCGGAAUCAUUGGGCGUAAAGCGGGUGCAGGCGGCUAUGUAAGUCAGAAGUGAAAGCCCUGGGCUCAACCCGGGAAGUGCUUUUGAUACUAUGUAGCUUGAGUGCUGGAGAGGUCAGUAGAAUUCCUGGUGUAGAGGUGAAAUUCGUAGAUAUCAGGAGGAAUACCAGAGGGGAAGCCGGCUGACUGGCCAGACACUGACGCUCAGACCCGAAAGCGUGGGUAGCAAACAGG
rnacentral:misc_RNA from 1 species